UACGGGGGGAGCAAACGUUGUUCGGAAUCACUGGGCGUAAAGGGCGUGUAGGCGGCUGAAUAAGUGGGAUGUUAAAUCCCCCGGCUCAACCGGGGACCUGCAUCUCAUACUGUUCAGCUCGAGCACAUCAGAGGAGACUGGAAUUCCCGGUGUAGCGGUGAAAUGCGUAGAUAUCUGGAGGAACACCGGUGGCGAAGGCGGCAUCCUGGACCGGCAUUGACGCUGAGGCGCGAAAGCCAGGGGAGCAAACGGG
rnacentral:rRNA from 1 species